UUUUCAUUUGGGGAACAGUUCAGGCAGUUUGCCUCGCAGGGGUCCGUGCCCAGGCAAGUACUCUGAGCGAAGGCGGCAGGCACCUGGUGGGACAGAGAGGUUGUUUUUAAGACACUUCCGCUCCUCACAGUAACUCUUUCUAAAGGUUAAAGAAGGUGUCAGUCGGGUUCCAAUGAGUGUUUCUUAAGGUUCAUGGUACUGGGGAAGGGUCAAACUACCACCAGGGUCAAACUACCACUCUUGGAAAUAAUGAGUGUUUCUUAAGGUUCAUGGUACUGGGGAAGGGUCAAACUACCACCAGGGUCAAACUACCACUCCUGGAAAUAAAGAGUGUUUCUUAAGGUUCAUGGUACUGGGGAAGGGUCAAACUACCACCAGGGUCAAACUACCACUCCUGGAAAUAAUGAUUGUUUCUUAAGGUUCAUGGUACUGGGGAAGGGUCAAACUACCACCAGGGUCAUAAAACUACUCCUGGAAAUAAUGUGUUUCUUAAGGUUCAUGGUACAGAAGAAGGGUCAAACUACCACCAAGGUUAUAGAACUAUCCCUGGAAAUGCCCUUAACUCCUACGAAAGCCUUGCCAAAUAUGUGUUCUUGGGCGACGAAAUAUUUUAAAAUACGACCCUAGAGUUACUGGCUGGUUCUUACAUAAUGGAGGAUUUUUCAAACUGCAUUUAAAGUCCCAGGUUUUAUUUUGAAAGAAUGCAGAAAUGAGCGGGUUGGUCCGGUAAAGGAUAUCAAGUGCUCAACAUCAACUGGUGAAGUAUGAAAGGACUGGCGGACACACUCA